AACGAACGUUAGCGGCGCGCCUAACACAUGCAAGUCGUGCGAGAAAGGGCUUCGGCCCCGGUAAAGCGGCGCACGGGUGAGUAACACGUAGGUCAUCUACCCUUGGGCGGGGGAUAACCCUCCGAAAGGAGGGCUAAUACCGCGUGACGCUGGCAACAGCCAAAGCGGGCCUCUUCACGAAAGCUCGCACUCAAGGAUGAGCCUGCGGCCCAGCAGCUAGUUGGUAGGGUAACGGCCUACCAAGGCGAAGACGGGUAGCUGGUCUGAGAGGAUGGUCAGCCACACUGGAACUGAGACACGGUCCAGACUCCUACGGGAGGCAGCAGUGGGGAAUCUUGCGCAAUGGGCGAAAGCCUGACGCAGCGACGCCGCGUGAGCGAUGAAGGCCUUCGGGUUGUAAAGCUCUGUGGGGAGGAAAGAAUAAGGGCUGGCGAAUACCCAGUUCGAUGACGGUACCUCCUUAGCAAGCACCGGCUAACUCUGUGCCAGCAGCCGCCGUAA
rnacentral:rRNA from 1 species